CUAUAAUCAUCGGUGCGCCACUCUAAAUUUUUAUUUGGGUACGUCGAGCGGCAAGCAAGAAAAAGUUCCUUGCCACACACUGCCUCUUGGAAUACGUUUCUUGUGACCAAGAUUGCUGAAGAGUGGGACGACUUCUCACGAUGUGAAAGAAAAUUGACGAUCGGUGACGUCUCAAACACUGACAUCAGUGCGUCGGAGACGGAAAAGAAGAGAUCCGGAAGACCAACCCUUACAUCGGGAAUUGAAGAAAAUCUUUUGGCCGCUUCACCGCAAGCUUUUCCCGUUAGGCGGUCUGCUCAAUUUCUGGGUGCUGGCACAUCAGCCUCUUCGUCGUCGGAGUCGGGUAA
rnacentral:lncRNA from 1 species